GCCUACGGGAGGCAGCAGUGAGGAAUAUUGGUCAAUGGUCGGGAGACUGAACCAGCCAAGCCGCGUGGGGGAUGAAGGUACAGAGUAUCGUAAACCUCUUUUGUCAGGGAACAAAGGCGGGGACGUGUCCCCGGAUGAGUGUACCUGAAGAAAAAGCAUCGGCUAACUCCGUGCCAGCAGCCGCGGUAAUACGUAGGUGGCAAGCGUUGUCCGGAUUUAUUGGGCGUAAAGCGAGUGCAGGCGGCUCAAUAAGUCUGAUGUGGAAGACUUCGGCCCAACCGGAGAAAUG
rnacentral:rRNA from 1 species